rnacentral:lncRNA from 1 species
UCUCCACAACAUCCAUCCCUUGCAGGACUCUUCCAAUAACCAGUGUUGAGGCGUCAAGUUCAGGCGAGUCCUUUGUUGCUAUAACAAAUUCUGUACCAUUUGGGUCGACCCCGAUUUCUUCCUCAUCAAUCACAAGUUUUCCUUUCUUAGCAACCAGCUUCAGUUUUGGUGCAGGUUUUGAUGGAUUCCUGACAAUAAUCCCCACCGAUCCUGCUACAUUUCUGGUACUAUUACUACCCAAACAAUUUUUGUUCUUAUCAUUAUUAUUCAUCUCCCAUUCUGAUAAUAGCUCGUCGGCUAUCAGAUCAGCUUGACUACCCCGUUUCGCUAGCUCAGUAUCUACGCCAAUGGAUCGAAUACCUCCAUGUUGUAUGUAAUUGGGCAUGAUUUUUACAAAAUCUUUU